CACGUAGGGGGCAAGCGUUGUCCGGAUUUAUUGGGCGUAAAGAGCUCGUAGGCGGUUCGGUAAGUUGGGUGUGAAACCUCCAGGCUCAACCUGGAGACGCCACCCGAUACUGCUGUGACUAGAGUCCGGUAGGGGAGCGUGGAAUUCCUGGUGUAGCGGUGAAAUGCGCAGAUAUCUGGAGGAACACCGGUGGCGAAGGCGGCAUCCUGGACCGACACUGACGCUGAGGAGCGAAAGCCAGGGGAGCAAACGGG
rnacentral:rRNA from 1 species